GAAGCUGGAAGAACUAGGGCCGUCCUGUUUAUCCGCUGUUGCUGUUCCUCUUUCCGUGGCUGGGGUUACCCAAAGUCAACUGCUGUUGGGAAGCAGAUGCUCCUCCUCCUGACGCCUCCUUAGAAGGUCAAGGGUAGCCUAACGCUGUGUGACAGUGCCUGUGACCAUCACCGCACUUCAUCUCAUCACGCAGGCAUUUCUUCAGGUCACCUCAUCCCAAGAGAAAGGGAACAGGAAACACUACCAUAAGGAAGAAGUACUCUUUUUAUACACCGUGUUGAUCCAAAAUGGACAGCCUUCUUCAAUGGCUCCCACUUCCAUAAUGGAGUGAAGUAAGAAGCAGUUGUUAAAGCUGCCUGGCUCCCCUGUGUAGCUGUGUGACCUCAGAGAGAGAUAUCACAGGCAGAGAGGCAGGCAGAGAGGAGCAGGGGAAGCAGGCUCCCUGCCGAGCAGAGAGCUCGAUGUGGGGCUCGAUCCCAGGACCCUGAGAUCAUGACCCGAGCCGAAGGCAGAGGCUUAAUCCACUGAGCCACCCAGGCGUCCCUCUCAUGAUGAUUUUGGAUGAUCCCAGUUUACCCUCAGCAUUCAAGCCCAGUACCUCAUCAAAGAGUUGAACCAACAACCAUUUGGUAAG